GAGGGUAUGGCUCAAAUGGUAGAGCACAUGCUUAGCAUGCACAAGGUCCUGGGUUCAGUCCCCAGUACCUCCU
rnacentral:tRNA from 1 species